UAUAGAAUUCACUAGUUGAUUCCAUCGACUCGUUCAAGCACCAGCUCGAAGAAGCUUAGCUAAUUUAUCUUAGAAAAUAAUGAAAAAGCUAUGCUUCUCAAGAAGGUGCAUGAACAAGUUGAUGUAUAUUUUGAUGUGUA
rfam:Arabidopsis thaliana chromosome 2, complete sequence.